rnacentral:rRNA from 1 species
UACACACCGCCCGUCACACCAUGGAAGUCUGUUGCACCAGAAGUCGGUAGUCUAACCGCAAGGGGGGCGGUUACCACGGUGUGAUUCAUGACUGGGGUG